rnacentral:rRNA from 1 species
GACGAACGCUGGCGGCGUGCUUAACACAUGCAAGUCGAACGGACAGGCCCUGCUUUUGUUGGGUGCUCGAGUGGCGAACGGGUGAGUAACACGUGAGUAACCUGCCCUUGUCUUUGGGAUAACUUCAGGAAACUGGGGCUAAUACCGGAUAGGAGCUCCUGCUGCAUGGUGGGGGUUGGUAAGUUUCGGCGGUUGGGGAUGGACUCGCUGCUUAUCCGCUUGUUGGUGGGGUAGUGGCUUACCAAGGCUUUGACGGGUAGCCGGCCUGAGAGGGUGACCGGCCACAAUGGGACUAAGAGACGGCCCAGAAGCCUACGGGAGGCAGCAGGGGGGAAUAUGGCACAAUGGGCGGAAGCCUGAGGCAGCAACGCCGCGUGCGGGAUGACGGCCUUCGGGGUGUAAACCGAUGUCGCCGGUGACGAAGCGUGAGUGACGGUAAUGGGUAAAGAAGCAACGGCUAACUACGUG